UACGUAGGGUGCAAGCGUUGUCCGGCAUUAUUGGGCGUAAAGAGCUCGUAGGCGGUUUGUUGCGUCGGCUGUGAAAUCCCGAGGCUCAACCUCGGGUCUGCAGUCGAUACGAGCAGACUAGAGUUCGGCAGGGGAGACUGGAAUUCCUGGUGUAGCGGUGAAAUGCGCAGAUAUCAGGAGGAACACCGGCGGCGAAGGCGGGUCUCUGGGCCGAUACUGACGCUGAGGAGCGAAAGCGUGGGGAGCGAACAGG
rnacentral:rRNA from 1 species